ensembl:lncRNA
GUUGAGGAGUAGCUGGAUGGUAAUAUGGUAACGAGGGGGUUGAGGAGUAGCUGGAUAUUAAUAUGGUAACGAGGGGUUGAGGAGGAUCUGGAUGGUAAUAUGGUAACGAGGGGGUUGAGGCGUAGCUGGAUGGUAAUAUGGUAACGAGGGGGUUGAGGAGUAGCUGGAUGGUAAUAUGGUAACGAGGGGGUUGAGGAGUAGCUGGAUGGUAAUAUGGUAUUAAAAGGGUUGAGGAGUAGCUAGAUGGUAAUAUGGUAACGAGGGGGUUGAGGAGUAACUGGAUGGUAAUAUGGUAAUGGGGGGGUUGAGGAGUAGCUGGAUGGUAAAAAGGUAAUGAGGGGUUUGAGGCGUAGCUGGAUGUUAUUACAGUAAUGAGGGGUUUGAGGGGUAGCUGGAUGGUAAUAUGGUAACGAGGGGGUUGAGGAGUAGCUGGAUAGUAAUAUGGUAACGAGGGGGUUGAGGUGUAGCUGGAUGGUAAUAUGGUAAUAAAAGUGUUGAGGAGUAGCUGGAUGGUAAUAUGGUAACGAGGGGGUUGAGGAGUAGCUGGAUGGUAAUAUGGUAAUGGGGG